UGGGAGGUGAAAGAAACAUAGGAUAUCAGGAGAAAUUUCUUCAGGUUAGAACCACAGAUGAGAGUUCAUGAAGAAGGAUGAAGAAGGCUGGUUGGAGGCUUGUCCCUUGUCUCUAUGCACACGAUGUUUAGGCUGUGUGAUGUUGCUGUGCCUGUACAGUGGCAGGACCUCCAUGCUCAGAGACUGAUGCCAUCAUGUCCAGAUGAUGCUGCUACCAUGAUGUGAAUGUGGCGAAUGUGCUGCACUGCGUGUCUCCUGGUCUCAAAUUGUACUUGCCUUACCAGGCAGUGGUUCAAUUGGAACAAGUCUAUGGAAUCUAUAGAAUCAAACACUGGAUGCCAAGGACCUGCUGUCCACCCUGUAUGUUCUUCAGAGUGAAGAGGCUAUUUUGGACCAGCUCCAGCCUGUUCCCAU
ensembl:lncRNA